UUUUCAUUAUUACUACCAUUAGUCUGUGGGGUAAGUUGAAAAUUAAAAUAUAAACGUACGAAGAGGAAAAACAUCCCACAGCGAGGAUUAUUACAGUUAAAAUAUAAAACAAUUCUUAGUUAUUAUGGUGCAUGGGCCACGACUCGGUGAAGCAGGAUCCAGUGUUGUUCCAGCUGGAAGUAACUUUCAUUUCUCAGUCUCGCCCGCACGGGUCAGGUAAAUGUUUUCGGAGGGAGACUAGUUUAAACUAACAUUUGUCCUUCGCCCUAAGUUGGUUUACUUCCCUCUCAUGCUGAGUAUGUUUCUGAAGUAGAAUAUCCAUUGUGUAUACAAAGAAAGAGGAAUUCUAAUUAAUUUUGUUUCCUUCUAUAUGCACACUGCUAGUCGAACAUGGACUGAGUUUAAUUUUCCUGUAUUAAUAUUCCCUCGCAGGAGAUUACUGUUUGCUCACGAGUGUGACAACUCAUUUUUGGUAUUUUCUGAAAAUUAAUAAUAAGUUUAAUCCAUAAUAAAUUAAUAUUUAAUUAAGGAAUAAUCUGACGUAUUUGAUUUUUGCUUCAAUUCCUAGGUAGGAGUUAUAAAUUUUCUCUUUGUUCAAUGUUGCAGUACCACCUCCGUGUCUGACUAGCUAGGUCGGUAAUUUGAUGGUGAUGGUCCGAAACAUCGGCAGUCCCGCUCUUCCGAAAGCAGACGUUCAUGUAGAAUUGAAGAAAGCGGGUUCUGAAAUAUUAACGCGAUUUGGCUGAAAUUCCUGCAAACUUUUCGCCUGAAUCGAUAAGACCGGAGGUCUGGGAUACGCCUUUCCUAUAAGCGAUCGUGACUGCGAAAAUUCACCGUCGUGCAGAAAGAACAAUUUAAAUAAACUAAUUAACUCACUCGACAAAUUCGCUCUGGAAAGGAUGAAUUUAGCUGAUUUUAUUUAUUUUUAAUCUAAACAUCGGCGAGACUAGGCGGACCGGGAUCUUCGGAAGCGUCCUAGUUCCAAGGUUCAUCAAUCAACCUGCAGACCUCAAGAGCAUUAAUAUUUUUAACUUGGAAUCAUAAAAAGCAUAGACGAUUAAUAAUAAUUCAAAAGUGUAAUAAUAUCCAUUAAUCAAUAAUUCCAUUAAAAACUAA